UACGAAGGGUGCAAGCGUUACUCGGAAUUACUGGGCGUAAAGCGUGCGUAGGUGGUUCGUUAAGUCUGAUGUGAAAGCCCUGGGCUCAACCUGGGAAUGGCAUUGGAAACUGGCGACCUAGAGUGCGGUAGAGGGUAGUGGAAUUCCCGGUGUAGCAGUGAAAUUCGUAGAUAUCGGGAGGAACACCGGUGGCGAAGGCGGCGACCUGGGUAGAUACGUGACGCUGAGGUGCGAAAGCGUGGGGAGCAAACAGGG
rnacentral:rRNA from 1 species